UACGGGGGGGGCAAGCGUUGUUCGGAAUUACUGGGCGUAAAGGGCUUGUAGGUGGCCAACUAAGUCAGACGUGAAAUCCCUCGGCUUAACCGGGGAACUGCGUCUGAUACUGGAUGGCUAGAGUUUGGGAGAGGGAUGCGGAAUUCCAGGUGUAGCGGUGAAAUGCGUAGAUAUCUGGAGGAACACCAGAGGCGAAGGCGGCUACCUGGACAAUUGCUGACGCUCAGGCACGAAAGCGUGGGGAGCAAAAGGG
rnacentral:rRNA from 1 species